CGUACACUCCUACGGGAGGCAGCAGUGGGGAAUAUUGCACAAUGGGCGCAAGCCUGAUGCAGCCAUGCCGCGUGUAUGAAGAAGGCCUUCGGGUUGUAAAGUACUUUCAGCGGGGAGGAAGGCGAUAAGGUUAAUAACCUUGUUGAUUGACGUUACCCGCAGAAGAAGCACCGGCUAACUCCGUGCCAGCAGCCGCGGUAAUACGGAGGGUGCAAGCGUUAAUCGGAAUUACUGGGCGUAAAGCGCACGCAGGCGGUCUGUCAAGUCGGAUGUGAAAUCCCCGGGCUCAACCUGGGAACUGCAUUCGAAACUGGCAGGCUAGAGUCUUGUAGAGGGGGGUAGAAUUCCAGGUGUAGCGGUGAAAUGCGUAGAGAUCUGGAGGAAUACCGGUGGCGAAGGCGGCCCCCUGGACAAAGACUGACGCUCAGGUGCGAAAGCGUGGGGAGCAAACAGGAUUAGAAACCCCUGUAGUCCC
rnacentral:rRNA from 1 species